CCUACGGGGGGCAGCAGUGGGGAAUAUUGCACAAUGGGGGAAACCCUGAUGCAGCAACGUCGCGUGAGUGAUGACGGCCCUCGGGUUGUAAAGCUCCGUCUUCAGGGACGAUAAAGACGGUACCUGAGGAGGAAGCCACGGCUAACUACGUGCCAGCAGCCGCGGUACUACGGAGGUGGCGAGCGUUGUCCGGAUUUACUGGGCGUAAAGGGAGCGUAGGCGGACUUUUAAGUGAGAUGUGAAAUACUCGGGCUCAACUUGAGUGCUGCAUUUCAAACUGGAAGUCUAGAGUGCAGGAGAGGAAGAUGGAAUUCCUAGUGUAGCGGUGAAAUGCGUAGAGAUUAGGAAGAACCCCGGUGGCGAAGGCGGUUCUCUGGACUGUAACUGACGCUGAGGCUCGAAAGCGUGGGGAGCAAACAGGAUUAGAUACCCGUGUAGUC
rnacentral:rRNA from 1 species